rnacentral:lncRNA from 1 species
CCCUCGGGGACCAGGACUCACCCUCAGGACCAGGCCUCACCCUUGGGGACCAGGCCUCACUGACAGGGACCAGGCCACAGAGUAUCCGGGCCACAGGAAUUUCACAGCCAGCACAUGGGUGGCAGCCGGUGCCGCACGACGGCAAGCAAAAGGAACACAGCAAGGAAUUGCGCCUCGUUUUCUGGAAUCCAGGCUGGACAGCAGCCAUCUCUCCCCUGAGUCCCCCUGAGGAGUCGUGGAGAGCAGCUCCAAGCAGGUUUCCGGUGGUGCGUCUCAAACCCAUGGACAGGAAGCUGAGGUCAUCAGUUGCUUUCUCAUUGCUGUCCGGGACGAUCCUCCCGAAACAGUGGUCAUCCUCACAUCCUGUGAGAUGGAAGCUGGGAAUCCACAGUGCUCCUCAGCACACCCUCAGCCUCCCACUCCCCUCAGGCCACCGCCACCAGCAGUGGCACACAGGGCACGACCCUUCCCUCCACGGGCCUGGAGCUCGUGUGUCUCUCUCCUCUGGCCCAUUCAAGGGGAGCCCCGAGCACGGAAUCUCUGUGCAGGACAGGCGGGGACCAGUGGUGGGCAGUGGGCUCUCUCCCCGGGCCGGGCCGGGCCAGGCCUCCUCCAGCAGGCCACAGCUCUGCCAGCUGAGUCUCCUCCCCGAACCCACUCCGAUCCCUGGGAGCUGUGCUCCCCACAGCUGCAUGGAAUCUGCCGGCGGGACAAGGAGGGCUCUGUCCCUGCAGAGCAGGAGCCGAAGUACUGAUGCGUGGACAAUGACACCGAGACCUGGGCUUGCCUUGGGCAGCCAGGGGUGGCUUUCUAGAUGAACCGUGUUUUCAGAGCUUACAUUGGCUUUCAGAUAACUAAAAGAUUAGCAAAUAUAUCCUUUCAUUACAG